rnacentral:rRNA from 1 species
AGCAGGGGCGGCGUGCUAUACUGCAGUCGAGCGAAGAGAUGGGAGCUUGCUCCCUGAUCUUAUCGGCGGACGGGUGAGUAACACGUGGGCAACCUGCCCUGCAGACUGGGAUAACUCCGGGAAACCGGAGCUAAUACCGGGUAAUACAUCGCACCGCAUGGUGCAAUGUUGAAAGUUGGCCUUUGGCUAACACUGCAGGAUGGGCCCGCGGCGCAUUAGCUAGUUGGUAAGGUAACGGCUUACCAAGGCGACGAUGCGUAGCCGACCUGAGAGGGUGAUCGGCCACACUGGGACUGAGACACGGCCCAGACUCCUACGGGAGGCAGCAGUAGGGAAUCUUCCGCAAUGGACGAAAGUCUGACGGAGCAACGCCGCGUGAGUGACGAAGGCCUUCGGGUCGUAAAGCUCUGUUGUUAGGGAAGAACAAGUACCGUUCUAAUAGGGCGGUACCUUGACGGUACCUAACCAAAAAGCCCCGGCUAACUACUUGCCACCACCCGCGGUAAUACGUAGGUGGCAAGCGUUGUCCGGAAUUAUUGGGCGUAAAGCGCGCGCAGGCGGUCUUUUAAGUCUGAUGUGAAAGCCCACGGCUCACCCGUGGAGGGUCAUUGUAAACUGGAGGACUUGAGUGCACAAAAGGAGAGUGGAAUUCCACGUGUAGCGGUGAAAUGCGUAGAUAUGUGGAGAAACACAAGUGGCGAGAGCGGCUCUCUGGUCUGUAACUGACGCUGAGACGCGAAAGCGUGUGGAGCAAACAGGAUUAGAUACCCUGUUAGUCUACGCCGUAAACGAUGAGUGCUCGUGUUGGGGGGUUCCACCCUCUGUGCUGUAGUCAACACACUAAGCACUCCGCCUGGGGGAGUACGACCGCAAAGUGAAACUCAAAAGAAUUGACAGGGGGCCCGCACAAGCAGUGGAACAUGUGGGUUAAUUCGAACAACGCGCAGAACCUUACCCGUCUUGACAUCCUCUGACAUCCUGGAGACUGACGAUUCCCCUCAGGGACAGAGUGACAGUGAUGCAUGGUGUCUUCACCUCUGUCCUGGAAUGUUGGGUAAUUCCCCACAGAGGCACCUGAACCUAAUGCCCCACUCAGUUGGCACUCUAAGGUGACUGCGUGAAACCGAGAGAGAGUGGGGAUGAAUCAAAAUAUCUAUGCCUUUAACUGUCUAACCGCUUCCAUGGACGUCAAGGUGCCACUCAGGUAACAAAUCUAACGCUUCCAUUCACUGAAGGUGAAACACCCUACUUAGAAUCCCAUAAAGCCGUUCUCAGUUCGGAUUGCAGGCUGCAACUCGCCUGCAUGAAGCCGGAAUUGCUAGUAAUCGCGGAUCAGCAUGCCGCGGUGAAUACGUUCCCGGGCCUUGUACACACCGCCCGUCACACCACGAGAGUUUGUAACACCCGAAGUCGGUGGGGUAACCUUUAUGGAGCCAGCCGCCGAAGGUGGGACAAAUGA